rnacentral:lncRNA from 1 species
AAAAAAGAGAGAGAAUAAGUUUGCAAAUGUGUAAAAAAUUGUUUUAAACUCUAUAUAAAAUAAUCACCUCAAUUUAAUAAUAAUAAAAUUUGACAAAAAAAUGAGAAAAGAUAAUAAAUAAACAAAAUUGCACAGGUGUUGGUGAUCGGGAAAAUAGCAAGUGUACUAUGUUAUCGAUGUAGUUUUAAUGGAAUUUAUCCCACAAGUAUCUGUCGCAACCUGAAAAAUACAGUGUGCGAAAAAACAACCGGCGAAAGAAAAUG